rnacentral:rRNA from 1 species
UACGGGGGGGGGUAAGCGUUGUUCGGAAUUACUGGGCAUAAAGGGCUCGUAGGCGGCCAACUAAGUCAGACGUGAAAUCCCUCAGCUUAACUGGGGAACUGCGUCUGAUACUGGAUGGCUUGGAUCCGGAAGAGGGAUGCGGGAUUCCAGGUGUAGCGGUGAAAUGCGUAGAUAUCUGGAGGAACACCGGUGGCGAAGGCGGCAUCCUGGGCCGGCAUUGACGCUGAGGAGCGAAAGCAUGGGGAGCGAACAGG